GGGGGGAGGUCGGAUCCUGGGCUGUGUCCCUGGCCCGGUGCUCCUGGGCCUGCGCUGUGGAAUCACGCUCCCGGCCGGGGCAGCCCCCU
rnacentral:pre_miRNA from 1 species